rnacentral:lncRNA from 1 species
GGAAGCGAAUUUGAGGCUCAUGCUCUUGCUUCCUCACGUGGCUGCCUUGGCUGUACAAAAACAGGCAGCGUGCUGGAUUUGGCUGGUGCACCACAGCUUGUCAACUCCUGCUCUAAAGCCCAAACUUCGGAGGCACAGACCCAAGUGUGGGUCCCAGCUCAGCCCGUUACUGACUCUGCCGCUUAGCCAGUCCCCCAGCCUCUUAGGUCUCAUCUUACAAAGCUGGUUCUCUCCAUGUCUAUCUGCUGACAAAGCACACUUUCACCCAAAAUGGCUGCUAAGUUUUCUUGUUAAAGUUAAAAUGCCUGUCCCUGAGACUUCAUUUGGACGCUUAGACACAAAGGCCACUCAAAGAAGUCUCACCUACCAGCCUGGUUUCAGCCUCUCGGGUGAAAGAGUCACCCCAAAUCCAAAGAAAGCCGAAGGCAAGUGUGGCUGACAUCUAUCCACAGCAUCUUUAUAAAGGACCAACCCCAAACAGUGCUGACUAAAGUAUAAAUGUGAAUGUGCCACGACCGUCAUCUGUCGUGGUGAAAAUGCCUAAAACUCUUUUCCCAUUUUUCUGAAGAGUCAAGGGACUUCUGCAGUUAGUACUAGUUAAAUAUA